rnacentral:rRNA from 1 species
CCUACGGGAGGCAGCAGUGGGGAAUAUUGCGCAAUGGGGGAAACCCUGACGCAGCGACGCCGCGUGAGCGAUGAAGGCCUUAGGGUCGUAAAGCUCUGUUGUAAGGGACGAAUGUUUAUCUGGCGAACAGUCAGAUAAAGUGACGGUACCUUACCAGCAAGCCCCGGCUAACUACGUGCCAGCAGCCGCGGUAAU